GAUGAACGCUGGCGGCGUGCUUAACACAUGCAAGUCGAACGGAAAGGCUCCUGCUUGCAGGGGUACUCGAGUGGCGAACGGGUGAGUAACACGUGGGUGAUCUGCCCUGCACUUCGGGAUAAGCCUGGGAAACUGGGUCUAAUACCGGAUAGGACGAUGGUUUGGAUGCCAUUGUGGAAAGUUUUUUCGGUGUGGGAUGAGCUCGCGGCCUAUCAGCUUGUUGGUGGGGUAUUGGCCUACCAAGGCGUCGACGGGUAUCCGGCCUGAGAGGGUGUACGGCGACAAUGGGACUGAGAUACGGCGCAGACUGCUACGGGAGGCAGCAGUGGGGAAUCUUGCACAAUGAGAGCAAGCCUGAGGCAGCGGCGCCGCGUUGGUGAUGACGGCUUUCGGGUUGUGAACACCUUUCGCUAGGGACGAAGCGCAAGUGACGGUACCUGGAGAAGAAGCACCGGCUAACUACGUG
rnacentral:rRNA from 1 species